rnacentral:lncRNA from 1 species
UUGAACAACCAACCUAAAUGACAUCUAGAAUAUUGAUCUUAUAGCAAAUAUUUGAAAUAUUAAAAAGGGAGUGCUUCAAUUUGUAAUGUGAUUAUGGUGGUAUAAUUAAUUUCUUCUUACACAUAUAUUUUGAAAUAGUUGUCGAUGAAAUAACGUCUUAGAGUCAAAGUAAUCUGGAAGUGGGGACAAAUAGAUUACCAUAUACAUAAAAUUAGACUCACCAGGAUUAUUGCAGCUGGUGAUGAGUACAUGGAAGUUCCUUAUAAUAUUCACCCUACUUUUUUCAUACAUAAAAUAUUUCUGAGGAGAAAAAUUUAAAAGAUACUUUAUUGCGAGUUACUGUUGUGGCUGAGCAGGUAAGAACUCGACAUAGCGUCCAUGAGCAUGCAGGUUUGAUCCCUGGCCUUAUUCAGUGGGUUACGGGUCCAGUGUUGCAGCAGCUUGCCAGAUGUGGCUUGGAUCUGGUAUUGAUGUGGCUGUGGUAUAGGCUGGCAGCCAUAGCUUUGAUUGGACCCCUAACCCAGGAACUUUCAUGUACUGCAGGUGCGGCCGUAAAAAUUUUUAAAAAGUAAAACAAAAAUACUAGUUUUGCUACUUCAUUGAAAAGGAAUCUCUUCAUAUAUUCAAUGAUUGAAUUGCUGACUUUAAAAUUAGAUGUAGUAGAAUAUGUAGGCCUUAGUAAGAUGAUGACUUGUUCAAUAAGACAGUUAUUAACAGACCCAAUAGUGACAAUAUCAAAAGCCAAAUAACUAAUGAAUCACAAAAACCAAACUCAAAACUAGCCAAAACAUCUAGAGGGCAGAUCAAAAAUUUGAGAAAUUAAAACAAUUAGACAAGAAAAAUAAUUAAAAGCAUAUAAAUUGCAAAGGAAGAAAUAAAAUCAUCUCUGUUCAUGGAGAUGUACAUAUAAGAUUUAAUCCCUAAAGAUUUAACUAUAACUGUUAAAACUAAUAAGUUCAGCAAACUUGCAGGAUACCAAAUCGAUACACAAAAGUCAAUUGUUUCUAUACACUAACAAAGAAUAAUCCAAAAAGUAUAGUAUGAAGCAAUUCCAUUUACAGUAGCAUCAAAAAUGUGGUGAAAUACUUGCAUACUGAAUGCAAUAAAACACUGCUCAAAGAAAUUAAGAUGACACAAAAUAAAUGGAAAGGUAUCACAUAUUUAUGGAUAGGAAGACUUCACAUUAUUAACAUGUCCAUACUAUCCAAGGCCAUCUAUAGGUCUAAUGCAGUAACAAUCAAAAUCUCAUGGUGCAUUUUUCUAUUUAUGCAAAAAUUAUCCUAAAAUACAUAUGGCAUCUCAAGGGACCCUGAAUAGCCAAAACAAUUUUUGAAAAGAAGAAAAUUUGAAGAUGCACACUUCCUAAUUUCAAAACAUAGUACAAAGUUACAGUAAUCUGAACAGUAUAAUAUUGGUAUAAAGAUAAAUCCAUAUACCAAUGGAAUAGAAUAGAGAGCCCAGAAAUAAGCCUUUGCAUAUAUGGGCAAAUAAUCUAUAAUAAGCGUGCUAAGACCACUCAAUGGUGAAAGUAUUGUCUCUUCAACUAAUGGAGUGUUUCCAAAUAUGAAUAUUUACAUGCAGAAGUAUAAAGAUAGACCCUUAUCUUACAUACAAAUACUAACUCAGAAUAAAGAUCUAAAUGUAGGAUUUAGAAUUCCAAAAUUCCUAGAAGAAAACAUAGAGGAAUAGCUUCAUGAUAUUGCACUUGGAAGUGACAACAAAAGCAAAGGCAAUAAAAGCAAAUAAUUUUGAAUGGGACUAUAUCAAAUUUGGAAACUGCCUUGUUUGUUGUUACCUGUAGACUCAGGCUCCACCUUCUGAGGAUGCGCCCUUGUUUUUUCUUUUUUUUUUUUAUGGCCACACCUGAGGCAUAUGGAAGUUCCCAGGCUAGGGGUUGAAUCAGAGCUGCAGCUGCCAGCCUACACCACAGCCACAGCAACACCAGAUCCGAGAGGCAUUUGUCGCCUAUGCUGCAGCUUAUGGCAAUGCCGCAUCUUUAACCCUCGAGGCCAGGGGUUGAACCUGCAUCCCCAUGGAUACUAGUUGGGUUCUUAACCCAAUGAGCCACGACGGGAACUCAAGGAACACAUUUUUUA